rnacentral:rRNA from 1 species
GAUGAACGCUGGCGGCGUGCCUAAUACAUGCAAGUCGAGCGAACAGACGAGAGUGCUUGCACUCUCUGACGUUAGCGGCGGGCGGGUGAGUCACACGUGGGUAACCUACCUAUAAGACUGGGAUAACUUCGGGAGACCGGAGCACAUGCCGGAUGCUCUUUAUCUUCGGAUGAGGCAAUAGUGAUACGCGGUUCUGGUGUCACCUAUCGAUUGACCAGCGGUGUAUUGGAUAGUUGGCGAGGUAACGGCUUACCAAGUCAGCGACACGUAACCGAAGUGAGAGAGUGAUCGGCGACAUGGGGACUGAGCCACGGCCCAGAGUCCUGCGGGAGGCAGCAGAAGGGAAUCGGCCGCAAUAGACGAAAGUCUGACGGAGCAAGGCCGCGUGAGUGAAGAAGGUUUUCGGAUCGUAAAACUCUGUUGUAAGGUAAGAACAGGUACGUUAGUAACUGAACGGACCGUGACGGUACCGUACCAGAAAGCCACGGCUAACUACGUG